GUGGUCACUCUGGCAGCACAAAUACUAAAUUUGGAAUGUACAGAGAAGAUUAGCAUGGCCCCUGUGCAAGGAUGACACACAAAUUUCUGAAGCAUUCCAUAUUUUU